rnacentral:rRNA from 1 species
AGAGUUUGAUCAUGGCUCAGGAUGAACGCUAGCGGCAGGCCUAAUACAUGCAAGUCGAACGGUAGUUCCGAUUUAUCGGAAUGAGAGUGGCGCACGGGUGCGUAACGCGUAUGCAACCUACCCUAUACAGGGGGAUAGCCCGGAGAAAUCUGGAUUAAUACCCCAUGGUACCAAGUUGAGGCAUUUUGAUUUGGUUAAAGAUUCAUCGGUAUAGGAUGGGCAUGCGUCUGAUUAGCUAGUUGGCGGUGUAACGGACCACCAAGGCGACGAUCAGUAGGGGUUCUGAGAGGAAGGUCCCCCACACUGGCACUGAGAUACGGGCCAGACUCCUACGGGAGGCAGCAGUAGGGAAUAUUGGGCAAUGGACGAGAGUCUGACCCAGCCAUGCCGCGUGCAAGAAGACGGCGUUCUGCGUUGUAAACUGCUUUUAUCUGGGAAGAAAAGGCCCAUGCGUGGGACAUUGCCGGUACCAGAUGAAUAAGCACCGGCUAACUCCGUGCCAGCAGCCGCGGUAAUACGGAGGGUGCAAGCGUUGUCCGGAUUUAUUGGGUUUAAAGGGUGCGUAGGCGGCUAUUUAAGUCAGUGGUGAAAGACUCCGGCUCAACCGGGGCAGUGCCAUUGAUACUGGAUAGCUUGAGUAUUGGAGGGGUACAUGGAAUUGAUGGUGUAGCGGUGAAAUGCAUAGAUACCAUCAGGAACACCGAUAGCGAAGGCAUUGUACUGGCCAAUAACUGACGCUGAUGCACGAAAGCAUGGGGAGCGAACAGGAUUAGAUACCCUAGUAGUCC